GACGAACGCUGGCGGCGUGCUUAACACAUGCAAGUCGAACGGAAAGGCCCUGCUUUUGUGGGGUGCUCGAGUGGCGAACGGGUGAGUAACACGUGAGUAACCUGCCCUUGACUUUGGGAUAACUUCAGGAAACUGGGGCUAAUACCGGAUAGGAGCUCCUGCUGCAUGGUGGGGGUUGGAAAGUUUCGGCGGUUGGGGAUGGACUCGCGGCUUAUCAGCUUGUUGGUGGGGUAGUGGCUUACCAAGGCUUUGACGGGUAGCCGGCCUGAGAGGGUGACCGGCCACAUUGGGACUGAGAUACGGCCCAGACGCCUACGGGAGGCAGCAGUGGGAAAUAUUGCACAAUGGGCGGAAGCCUGAUGCAGCAACGCCGCGUGCGGGAUGACGGCCUUCGGGUUGUAAACCGCUUUCGCCUGUGACGAAGCGUGAGUGACGGUAAUGGGUAAAGAAGCACCGGCUAACUACGUG
rnacentral:rRNA from 1 species